CUGGAGGCGGGGCUACACCUGCAGAGGUGGGGCUGUAAGGGAGUGGGUUUGGCCACCGGUGAGCUGGAGGCGCGAUGGAGGGCCGAGCACCAGAGAGCGGACAGUGAACGCACCACGCACGACCGAGAGAGGAAACUGAGAAACAGGUUUGUUCGUGACUCUGCGGCUCUGACCGACUGGACGCUCGGGGCCAGAGAGCUGAUGAGCACAUGGAGUCAGCUCGGCGUCGCAGCCUCGGAGGAGGAGAUGGAGGUUGAACAGAGGCACGAGCGCUUCCUGCAGUGUGUGGCUUUGAGCCAGCAGUUGGAGUCCAGAUGUGAACUGAAGGUGGCCGUGAUCGGAGCCGGAUCUCAGCUGGUUCAGCUGAGGGAGGCGUUGGGACGCUCGGGUUCAAACCUGGACGACAGCGAGA